GAUGAACGCUGGCGGCGUGCUUAACACAUGCAAGUCGAACGAGGUCCAACCUUCGGGUGAAGACCGAGUGGCGAACGGGUGAGUAACACGUGGGGAACCUGCCCUUCUCUCUGGGAUAACGUCGAGAAAUCGGUGCUAAUACCGGAUACUCCUUGCGGAUCGCAUGGUCUGCUCGGGAAAGCUCCGGCGGAGAAGGAUGGCCCCGCGGCCCAUUAGCUAGUUGGUGAGGUAAUGGCCCACCAAGGCGACGAUGGGUAGCCGAGCUGAGAGGCUGAUCGGCCACACUGGGACUGAGACACGGCCCAGACUCCUACGGGAGGCAGCAGUGGGGAAUUUUGCACAAUGGGCGCAAGCCUGAUGCAGCAACGCCGCGUGCGGGACGAAGGCCUUCGGGUUGUAAACCGCUUUCAGCAGGGACGAAAAUGACGGUACCUGCAGAAGAAGCCCCGGCUAACUACGUGCCAGCAGCCGCGGUAAUACGUAGGGGGCAAGCGUUAUCCGGAUUUAUUGGGCGUAAAGCGCGCGUAGGCGGCUUGUUAAGUCAGAUGUGAAAACCGGGGGCUCAACCCGCGGCCUGCAUCUGAAACUGGCAGGCUUGAGUCUGGUAGAGGAAAGUGGAAUUCCUGGUGUAGCGGUGAAAUGCGCAGAUAUCAGGAGGAACACCAGUGGCGAAGGCGGCUUUCUGGGCCACGACUGACGCUGAGGCGCGAAAGCUAGGGGAGCGAACAGGAUUAGAUACCCUGGUAGUCCUAGCCGUAAACGAUGGGCACUAGGUGUGGGGGGUCAUCGACUCCCUCCGUGCCGAAGCUAACGCAUUAAGUGCCCCGCCUGGGGAGUACGGCCGCAAGGCUAA
rnacentral:rRNA from 1 species